UACGGGGGGGGUAAGCGUUGUUCGGAAUUACUGGGCGUAAAGGGCUCGUAGGUGGCCAACUAAGUCAGACGUGAAAUCCCUCAGCUUAACUGGGGAACUGCGUCUGAUACUGGAUGGCUUGAGUUUGGGAGAGGGAUGCGGAAUUCCAGGUGUAGCGGUGAAAUGCGUAGAUAUCUGGAGGAACACCGGUGGCGAAGGCGGCAUCCUGGACCAACACUGACACUGAUGAGCGAAAGCCAGGGGAGCAAACGGG
rnacentral:rRNA from 1 species